rnacentral:rRNA from 1 species
AGCAGCCGCGGUAAUUCCAGCUCCAAUAGCGUAUAUUAAAGUUGUUGCAGUUAAAAAGCUCGUAGUUGAAUUUCGGGGUUUAUCCGUUGGUCGGGCUUUUGGGUCUGUACUGGCGUGAUGGAUUCCUACCUUCUGAAUAACCAGCAUGUCAUUAAUUUGGUGCGUUGGGGAAGCAGGACUGUUACCUUGAAAAAUUAGAGUGCUUAAAGCAGGCUAUUGCCUGAAUACAUUAGCAUGGAAUAAUGAAAUAGGACGCAUGGUUCUAUUUUGUUGGUUUCUAGGAUCACCGUAAUGAUUAAUAGGGAUAGUUGGGGGCAUUAGUAUUCAAUUGUCAGAGGUGAAAUUCUUGGAUUUAUUGAAGACUAACUUCUGCGAAAGCAUUUGCCAAGGAUGUUUUCAUUAAUCAAGAACGAAAGUUAGGGGAUCGAAGACGAUCAGAUACCGUCGUAG